rnacentral:rRNA from 1 species
UACAGAGGGUGCUAGCGUUGUUCGGAAUCAUUGGGCGUAAAGGGCGUGUAGGCGGUUUGUUAAGUCAUGUGUGAAAUCCCUCGGCUCAACCGGGGAACGACGCAUGAAACUGGCAAGCUAGAGUACCAAAGAGGGGGGUGGAAUUCCCGGUGUAGCGGUGAAAUGCGUAGAUAUCAGGAAGAACACCAAUGGCGAAGGCAGCUCUCUGGGACGGUACUGACACUGAGACGCGAAAGCGUGGGGAGCAAACAGG